rnacentral:ncRNA from 1 species
AACGCUUUGCCGCCGGGUAGAGCUGUAAGGUGUCAGAUUUUUCAUCCGUAGGCCAUAGGAGAUGAAAAGCUGGCACCUUUUUGUAU